UGGCUCAGAACGAACGCUGGCGGCAUGCCUUACACAUGCAAGUCGAACGGCAGCAUGGAGGAGCUUGCUCCUCUGAUGGCGAGUGGCGAACGGGUGAGUAAAGCAUCGGAACGUGCCGUGUAGUGGGGGAUAACGUAGCGAAAGUUACGCUAAUACCGCAUACGCACCGAGGUGGAAAGCAGGGGAUCGCAAGACCUUGCGCUAUACGAGCGGCCGAUGUCAGAUUAGCUAGUUGGUAGGGUAAAGGCCUACCGAGAAAGACGAUCUGUAGCGGGUCUGAGAGGAUGAUCCGCCACUUCGUGCCUGAGACACGGGACNGACUCCUACGGGAGUCAGCAGAGGGGAA
rnacentral:rRNA from 1 species